CUACUUAAUCGAUAUCAUUUUUGUUUUUCUGAAAAACAAUGAAGAAAAAAACACAAAAUUAGAAGUUAAUGUUAAAAAAUUUUGAGACGAUUUUUUAAGGAUUUUAUGGCGACUAUUGUCGCUACUAAAAACUACAUAAUUUCAGAGCAAUUUUGACCAAUUUCGUAUAUAAAAUAAUAUGUGAAAGAAGAUCUUAGAUUUGGCUGGAACUAUAAUAAAGUUUCUAUGGAAGACUGUAGAUUCCUCUCAAAGAUGAGGCUACAUUACACUUGAAUUGCUAAAGUUUCUCGUUUCAUCGCCUAUAAAUGAGUAACGUGUUCGAUCCAUUUUCACUAUAUAUAUGGGAUCCACUAGAAGGGUUUUCAAUUGCAAACCGUUCAUCCUCUGUUUUCGCAAAUGCAAAAAUCGAUUGGAAAGAAACACCAGAAGCUCAUGUAUUUUAAGUGAAAGCCAUUGAUAUUUCUGGUCGAUUGAAAAAAAAAAAAAGUUGCAGAUCAAGUGUUUGUUGAAAGUCCUCUGUCAAUAAUUGUUAUAAUUUGUGUAUUUUAACUUGAUCUUGUUAUCAAAAAAUAAAAAUGUAAUGUGAGUUUGAUAAUGAAAUAAUUUCCUUUAAACAAAUACCCUUUUUUCUCGUAAUAAAAUUUACGUAUAUUCUAUAUUUUUUUCUAAUUUUUUUUACAAAUGAGAUCUGCGUACGUUCUAUUCUUUUUCAUUAUCUAUUGUCAUUCUCAUUGUGGGGGAGGUGUGAUGUUGCUCUUAACUUGCACCUUCACAUUUUAAUUGCGGGGAGGUAUGAAGAUAGUUCGAUGUAUUAAGCAUUUUACAAAUUCAUAUUCAUGUAAUGUACAUAUUUUAAUUUCUAUUAAGACAGUUUGAUGUACUAAACGUUUUACAUAUAUAUAUAUAUAUAGGUUUAUAA